rnacentral:rRNA from 1 species
CGCCCUUAGAGUUUGAUCCUGGCUCAGGACGAACGCUGGCGGCGUGCUUAACACAUGCAAGUCGAACGAUGAACCACUUCGGUGGGGAUUAGUGGCGAACGGGUGAGUAACACGUGGGCAAUCUGCCCUGCACUCUGGGACAAGCCCUGGAAACGGGGUCUAAUACCGGAUACGACCAUCUUGGGCAUCCUUGGUGGUGGAAAGCUCCGGCGGUGCAGGAUGAGCCCGCGGCCUAUCAGCUUGUUGGUGAGGUAACGGCUCACCAAGGCGACGACGGGUAGCCGGCCUGAGAGGGCGACCGGCCACACUGGGACUGAGACACGGCCCAGACUCCUACGGGAGGCAGCAGUGGGGAAUAUUGCACAAUGGGCGAAAGCCUGAUGCAGCGACGCCGCGUGAGGGAUGACGGCCUUCGGGUUGUAAACCUCUUUCAGCAGGGAAGAAGCGAAAGUGACGGUACCUGCAGAAGAAGCGCCGGCUAACUACGUGCCAGCAGCCGCGGUAAUACGUAGGGCGCGAGCGUUGUCCGGAAUUAUUGGGCGUAAAGAGCUCGUAGGCGGCUUGUCGCGUCGGUUGUGAAAGCCCGGGGCUUAACCCCGGGUCUGCAGUCGAUACGGGCAGGCUAGAGUUCGGUAGGGGAGAUCGGAAUUCCUGGUGUAGCGGUGAAAUGCGCAGAUAUCAGGAGGAACACCGGUGGCGAAGGCGGAUCUCUGGGCCGAUACUGACGCUGAGGAGCGAAAGCGUGGGGAGCGAACAGGAUUAGAUACCCUGGUAGUCCACGCCGUAAACGGUGGGCA